rnacentral:rRNA from 1 species
AUAAAUAAGCGGAGGAAAAGAAACCAAACGGGAUUCCCCUAGUAACGGCGAGCGAAAAGGGAAUUGUCCAGCGCCAAGUCUUGACAUCUAUGGUGUUCAAGAGAUGCGGCGUUAAUGUAUCGACGCAUCAUGCAYUGUUCUUUGUUUCAAGUUCCUACGACCGGGACUUCCAGAGCGGGUGUAAGACCCAUAGAGACGAGGAACCAGUGUAUGCUGAACGAUGCAUUCUAGAGUCAGGUUGCUUGAGAGUGCAGCUUAAAGUCGGUGGUAAACUCCAUCCAAGACUAAAUACUACAGCGAGACCGAUAGCAAACAAGUACCGUGAGGGAAAGUUGCAAAGCACUUUGAAGAGAGAGUUCAAAAGUACGUGAAACCACUGGGAGGCAAACAGAUGGAACCACGAAGUUGCGCUUCGGUCGAUUCAAUCAUCACUAUUGAUUAAUUUUUCAAGAUUUGGAUCUUUUCGGAGGUUAAUCUUGAAAGAUAAAGAUUGAUGGUGAUGGUGCAUUUCGUGCCGAAGAUGCUAAGCCACGUUCAACUAGAGUUGGGACAGCUGUAAGAUGGAAUUUGAGAAAGGUACCCAUUGGUUGCUUGCAUCCAAUGGCGUUAUAGUCUCGAAUUGGCACUGUCGCCUARCAUACUGGUUGAURCAAUUUCUCCAUUUGGAGUCUAACCAUGUCUGCCUACGGCUGCUAGUCGAUGUUCCGUGGUGUUCUUUGUGUAUCUUUCGAUGCAAAAAGACGCCACAAAGAUGUCGGCUAGUAAUCGUUUGCGUGAYAUGGUGGAACUGUGGCGCGAGUAGGUCGGUCUCCAUCUGACCCGUCUUGAAACACGGACCAAGGAGCCUAUCAUAUACGCGAGUCGCUCGGUCUUGUUUAGGCCCGGGAGGCGGAAUGAAAGUAAAGUUACGAGACUUUGGUCGCAGUAACGGCCCGCCCACUUCGUUUAUUGGCGAUCUGGCGGAGCUGGAGCGUAUACGAUGGUACCCGAAAGAUGGUGAACUAUGCCUGGGCAAGACGAAGCCAGAGGAAACUCUGGUGGAGGUCUGUAGCGAUUCUGACGUGCAAAUCGAUCGUCAGACCUGGGUAUAGGGGCGAAAGACUAAUCGAACCAUCUAGUAGCUGGUUCCCUCCGAAGUUUCCCUCAGGAUAGCAGGCGUUUAUUUUUACACAGUCUCAUCCGGUAAAGCUAAUGAUUAGAGGUCUUGGGGUUGAAACGACCUCAACCUAUUCUCAAACUUUAAAUGGGUGAGAUGGUUGACUUUCUUGAUUGAAGCCAACCAUUUGGAUGCAAAUGCCUAGUGGGCCAUUUUUGGUAAGCAGAACUGGCGCUGUGGGAUGAACCAAACGUCGAGAUAAGGCAUCAAAUGCGUACGCUCAUCAGACCCCAUGAAAGGUGUUGGUUGCUAUAGACAGCAGGACGGUGGCCAUGGAAGUCGGAAUCCGCUAAGGAGUGUGUAACAACUCACCUGCCGAAGCAACUAGCCCUGAAAAUGGACGAUGCUGUAGCGUGGAGCCGAUACUCGACCGUUGUAGUGAAUUUUGAGAUUAAGAUAUUACAACGAGUAGGAGGGCCGCAGUGUUAGCGUUGAAGGUGUCCGGCGUGAGCCGGCCUGGAGCUAUCAUUGUU